GUCUGUAUAUUCCCUUGGGAUACAAUCAAGACACUUCUUCUGUCACAAAGCCUUCAGAGAGAUGUGGGAUGCCUGAGUAAAUUGUGAGGGGUGGAAAAGACAAUAGAUCUAUGCUUAGAUACUUGCAUUCUUUGACUACCAAAAACAAUCUAUUGUUUGGUGGCAGUGUGCAUGACUGCCAAUUUUAAUUUACCAUAGACAGCAGCAAUAAGAAGAUAAAGUGUGCAGUGUCCUUCUCUGCAGCUUUGCAUUCCUACCACACUGGCACUGAGCCUCCCCAGUGAAAGAUAAGGCCAGAAUGCUAAGGAGACUUGGGCUGCUGCUGUGGGGUGGCUGUGGGUGGGAAUACUUCUUUUUGUAGCCAAACCAGUUUGUGCUGCUUCAGAUGUUUGUGACAUAGCAGCCUCCAGUUUUCACUUCAACUUCCAGAUCCAUCAGACUGGAACCAGAACACCAGACAGUAGCAAAGUCCGAGUGGUCUCUCCUCGCAGCUAAUACUGCAGAUGAGCUCACUCUCUUCAGAGGUCCUUUUGUGUGGAAACACAACAUCUGUUACGGCAUGUGUACAUCUUCCCUUCCAAGUCUCCAGUCUCUUCAAAUUCAGGUUCUCUAUCUGCAUUUUCAUAUUCUGUAUAAAGCUCAAAUCAACUGAUAUUAGGACAGUUUCUUCUGAGCUUUUGAUUGCAUUACUUUUAGUAACAACUGUAACAUUAUAGAACUGCUGGAGCUCUGGACCAUGUAACAAAA